rnacentral:lncRNA from 1 species
GUCUCUUGGUUUGAGUCUGGUCGCUUCCGGAGGCACGGCAAAAGCGAUCAGGGAUGCUGGCCUGGCAGUCAGGUAAGGCAGUAGGUAGCGUUAAAGGGAGAAAAACGUUGUGACCAUAUUCACCAGAAAGCCAUGCAAAAAACUGACAAAACACAGGGAGAAGUUAGGUUAGAACUAGGGAGCCUUGAGUUUUAGAGUCCUAGCACCCAGCCACUGUUUGCAAACAAAUUAACUUCGGAGGGCCAUGUGUUAUGCAGAAUAAACACGAAUGUUCAGGUUCCAUGGCCUGGCUUUGACUGGUUGCACAGUUAGACUGUAACAUCUUUGAAGAUCUGUAUCUCCCUCUUCAUAGCCUCACCCAUCAGAAAGUACCAGUGGCUCGAUCACACUCAUCUCCUGACUAACAGUGGGAAGGGUUUGACAAGAGAUGUCAGGAGAUGACCCUGAAGGUCUGGAAGGUAGAAAAGGAAAAAGACCUUAGUUCCCUGGCUGUUUUCAUUGCCAUUAUAACUCUUGGUUUGUGGAGAAUCCCUAUAGAGGUAAAUUAUUCACCUCUUCAUAACUCUUGUUUGUGUAAGCAGUACAUAACCCCUGUACAUUUGACAGCUUCAGACAGCAAGAAUGCCUUUACUUAGUAAAUGUCUUCAGUGGAUUCUCUUGUGACUUAUGGGAGUCCGGAGCAUCAGGGACAGCAGACAAGUAGGCUCCUGUGAGGUGCAGUUGAGUUACUGUGGAGCUGGUAUGGGUAGGCCAUUGUUGCUGUGGCAUUUACGAUGAAGUACGAGGAGUUCUUGCAUUGUCUAUCGCCUAGUUUAAAUGUUUCUCAGAUGGUCAUUCAUAUUUCCACGCCACUGCCCAGUAUUUGCUUGCCCCGUUACGCCUUCUCGUAUUCUUUUGGUGGUAUGGAAGACUGACCCCAAUGUCCAGUCCACUCCUGAGCUGUAUCCCUAGUUCAUUUUUUAUGCUUUGCUUCAGAAACUUUUAAAACUUAGAGCCAGGGUCUCUGUAGGUUGCCCAGGCUGGCCUUGAACUUGUGAUCCUCCUGCCUCUUCCUCCUUGAGUGAGUUGGAGUAUGGAUAUCUUUUAGAAAUUAGAACUAUGUCCUGUUAAAGAGUAAGUGUUUUUGUUUGUUUAUGCGGGUCCUGGUGCAUGGGAGACAAACUUUGUACACCUGAGCCAUAUUUCCAGUCCAAACAUAUUUUUAAUGUUUUUGUUGUUGUUAAAUUCACUAUAAAUGAUUCUCAGUAGAAUCUCUUUGCUUUGUUUGUUUGCUUUUGGUUUUUCAGGCAAUGGUUUCCCUAUGUUGUCCUGGAACUUUAUCUGUAGACCAGGCUGGGCUUGAACUCACAGAGAUCCACUUGCCCCUGCCUCCUGAGUGAUGGGAUUAAAGACGUGUGCCACCACUGCCCUUGAAUUUCAUAAUUAAAGGUUGUUAAGAGUCUGGACAUUGUAAAGCCAGUGCUUUAAUACCUAAUUGAUUUUCUAAAACAUAUCAUUUAGGAAAUAUAACAUUUUGCAGUAUAUGAAUAACAUUUAGGAAAUCCAACACAGUGAAAAUUUUUAAAGCUUUGCUUAAGUUGGACUUGAAAAAAAAACCUCUUGUAGAUUUGGUGGGAGAUGCUUUGAGUCCUGGAAAGUGAUAAUUCAGUAACUGUUUUAUUACUCUGUUUUCAGAGAUGUGUCUGAGCUAACAGGGUUCCCUGAAAUGUUAGGGGGACGCGUGAAAACCUUGCACCCUGCGGUCCAUGCUGGUAAGUGGUUGAGGGUUGUAAUCCCUCAGUUUAUAACAGAUUUUAGUUCAUAGUUUCAAAAGAUACAGGAAGAAAUAAAUCAUAAGCCCCCAAAAAAAGAUUUUAAAAGAGUCUACUUCUCCCAUUGAUCCCUUUAUAAUCUGACUCCUCACUACAGGAUAAGUUCAGAUUGUUUUCCUACAUUGCUUUUGAUCGUGACCUACUAACUAAUUUAGCUAAUCUAGAUUGCGUUGUUUCUAUGUACAGUCUGACUAUACACUUCUGUAGUUCACACUUGGAAUACAGUGUUACCCUGUAACUGUUUCUC